rnacentral:rRNA from 1 species
GUCGGGAAUUUUGCGCAAUGGACGAAAGUCUGACGCAGCAACGCCGCGUGAGGGAUGACGGCCUUCGGGUUGUAAACCUCUUUUGUCAGGGAAGAUGAUGACGGUACCUGGCGAAUAAGCCACGGCUAACUACGUGCCAGCAGCCGCGGUAAUACGUAGGUGGCAAGCGUUGUCCGGAUUUACUGGGCGUAAAGAGCGCGCAGGCGGUCGUCCAAGUCGCGUGUGAAAGCCCCCGGCUCAACUGGGGAGGGUCACGCGAUACUGAUCGACUCGAAGGCAGGAGAGGGUAGUGGAAUUCCCGGUGUAGUGGUGAAAUGCGUAGAUAUCGGGAGGAACACCAGUGGCGAAGGCGACUACCUGGCCUGUUCUUGACGCUGAGGCGCGAAAGCUAGGGGAGCAAACGGGAUUAGAUACCCUUGUAGUCC